rnacentral:rRNA from 1 species
CAAUAGCGUAUAUUAAAGUUGUUGCGGUAAAAAAGCUCGUAGUUGGAUUUCUACCGAAGAUAGCCGGUCGGGUCUUCGACCUUGUAUCUGGUUUUGUCUUUGGUAUCCUCAUAGGGAACGUUUCUGCGCUUUAUUGCGUGGUGCGGUAUCUAUGACUUUUACUUUGAGGAAAUUAGAGUGUCCACGGCAGGCAAACGCCUUGAAUAUAUUAGCAUGGAAUAAUAACAUAGGAUCUUCGUCCUAUUUUGUUGGUUUCUAGGGCUAAGAUAAUGAUUAAUAGGGAUAAUUGGGGGCAUCUGUAUCAACGCGUCAGAGGUGGAAUUCUUGGAUUGCGUUGCGACAAACUACUGCGAAAGCAUUUGCCAAGGAUGUUUUCAUUGA